rnacentral:rRNA from 1 species
AUAAACGCUGGCGGCGCACAUAAGACAUGCAAGUUGAACGGACUUAAUCGAAAUAUUUAUCUUUUGAAGCGGUUAGUGACGGACUGGUGAGUAACGCGUAAGGAACCUGCCUAUUAGAGGGGAAUAACAGUGAGAAAUCAUUGCUAAUACCGCAUAUGCCAUAGAUAUCACAUGAUAACAGUGGGAAAGGAGCAAUCCGCUAAUAGAUGGCCUUGCGUCUGAUUAGAUAGUUGGUGGGGUAACGGCCUACCAAGUCGACGAUCAGUAGCCGGACUGAGAGGUUGAACGGCCACAUUGGGACUGAGAUACGGCCCAGACUCCUACGGGAGGCAGCAGUCGGGAAUAUUGCGCAAUGGAGGAAACUCUGACGCAGUGACGCCGCGUAUAGGAAGAAGGUUUUCGGAUUGUAAACUAUUGUCGUUAGGGAAGAGAAAGGACAGUACCUAAGGAGGAAGCUCCGGCUAACUACGUG